GUCCAUAGCAGCUCAGUUGGUUAGAGUGCAGUGCUGAUAAUGCCAAGGUUGCAGGUUCAAUCCCUGCUUGGGACA